rnacentral:rRNA from 1 species
CCUACGGGUGGCAGCAGUAGGGAAUCUUGCGCAAUGGGCGAAAGCCUGACGCAGCAACGCCGCGUGAUCGAGACGCCCUUCGGGGUGUAAAGAUCUGUCAGUGGGGACGAAACUUGACGGUACCUACAGAUGAAGCACCGGCUAACUCCGUACCAGCAGCCGCGGUAAUACGGGGGGUGCAAGCGUUGUCCGGAAUCAUUGGGCGUAAAGAGUGCGUAGGCGGCACGUAAAGUCUGGUGUUAAAGGCAGAGGCUCAACUUCUGUACGGCACUGGAUACUGGCGAGCUAGAGUGCGGUAGAGGUAAGGGGAAUUCCUGGUGUAGCGGUGAAAUGCUUAGAGAUCAGGAGGAACAUCAGUGGCGUAAGCGCUUUACUGGGCCGUAAUUGACGCUGAGGAACGAAAGCGAGGGUAGCAAAUGGGAUUAGAUACCCGGGUAGUC